GCCGCUUGCCGCACCCCCGAGCCUGAGCCCGUCUACCUCGUGGCUGCCUGAGGCCCGGGUAUGGGGGCGCGCGUCUGCGAGGAGGUCGCGGGUGCCCUGGUUUUUUUGAAGCCGGCCUUGUAUUCCCAGGGCCUGGCGGGUGAAUAACCGGCCGGGUCGUGGCUGCGUGGUCGUGCUCCGCCCGCGCCGAGGGGCCUCACGCCCGGGCAGCCUGCGUCACCCGCAGGGUUCGGUCACAGGCGAGGGCGGAUGGUGCGGGCCGGAAUCCCGCCUGCGAGUAGAGGCCCGCGCUCAGGAGGGCGGCGCCGGAGGCCUCGGGUCGGGAGGGCCCCUUCGGGUGUGAGGAGCGCAGGAAGGGGGCGGUUUUCCUGCGUCUUGAGCCGCCCGAGGACGAGGACUGAAGUUGCAGCCGCCGCAGGGAGGGCAGCCCCGGAGGAGGAGGGUCGUGAGGGAGGGAGCGCGCAGUGCGGCGCGGCCUGGCAGGCGUCUGCAGAGCUCGUCCCGCACACCUCUGACUUCGGAGCGCUCCGUCCUGUGCCUUCGGACUGGCUCACCUCGGAGGCGCUUCGAGCCUCGGUCCUGCCCCGGCCGCUGCGCGAGCCCAUCGUAGGAAGCGGGGAGGCGCCGUCUGGAAGCUUAGGAAGAGGCUCUGUUCUCUUCAGGGUCCGCCCUCCGGGCCCGGGCAGGGUCCCUCGUGGGCUCCCAGGCGCGCGGGGUCCUCCGCCACCCCGACCCCUUCCUCCGUCCGCCUUAGGUCUAGAGCUGACGCCAAGAGCUGGAAAGCUUGUUGAGUAGGAAAAGCAAAGACUAGAUGGUCUGUCACAGAGAUGAGCAUGGUGGUGCAGGCCUGUAAUCUCAGCUCCUCAGGCGGGAGGAUCACUUGAUCCCCGGAAGUUUGAAGCUGGACUGCGCUGACCGCACCUGUGAAUACCACUGCCCGUCAAUCAGCCUAGGGGAAACAUUCUCGAGUGCGAGCAUGACGGCUUAGGUUGAUGUUUUUCAAAUUUUCCCAAUGAUGAGUAUUGUAAGGGACCAAAAUAAAAAAAUGCCAAUGCCUAGUCCCCUCUCAUCUAGAAUAAUUCCAUAGGUGAUGAUGGGGUCCAGGACUCUGAAUUUCGUCAAUUUUACCAAAUACUUCGUCCAGUGAGGCAAAUAUGGAAACACUUGGAUCACCUCUUCGUGAACGCACAUCAGCGCAUACGCCGGCUGUUUUUAUCAGGCGCUCACCCCUCAUCCAAUGGCGUGACUAGUUGUGGGUGGAGCCCGAAAUCUGGCUGCCUAGAGAAGGCUGAAGGUCCAGUUAUAGCAUAACUAAUGUUUCCCCAGAGCUCACAUACGUGCCAAGCACCGUGCUACAGCCUCCACAGCCCCUUCAUUUAAUCUUCCCGAUGGGCCUAUGAAAUAGGUGCUCCUGGCCCGCACCGUGGCUCAUGCCUCUAAUCCCAGCACUUUGGGAAGCUGAGGAGGGAGGGUCGCUUGAGUCCAGGAUUUCAAGACCAGCCUGGGAAACACACAGAGAGCCUAUCUCUACGAAAAUUUAAAAAAUUAGCCGGGUGUGGUGAUGCCUGACUGUGGUCCCACCUACUUAGUAGGCUAAGGUGGGAGGAUCCUCUGAGCCCGGGAAGCUGAGGCUGCAGUUAGCACUGCACUCCAGCAUGGGCGACAGAGUGAGACCCUGACUCAAAAAAAAAAAAAAAAAAGAAUAGGUGCUACUUGUAGUUCCCAUUUUACCCACCAAGAAACUGAAGAUCUGAGAGACAAAGCCUACAGGGUGACCGCUAGUCACUGGUAGGGCUGGGAUUUGAACAGGGGCGGUUUAACAACUGAUCUCUCGACCAUAAUGCGUGUUGCCCAAGAAAAAAGACCGUCCUCACGGUCCUAUCCACUCCGGACUUUGCAAUUCCGUUAUUUCGUAAAUUGAGGCCUAUAAAUAGUUUGCUUACCCGUUGUCUUAGUCCCCAGUAACAUGCAGAACUAAAGAAGAAACUGAAGGAGCACCGAUUUUGUUCACCUUGCUUUUUGGUUUAGUUCUGGAGGAGAACACAGGUGCACUUAGAACAGGAUCCACACUUACCAGAGGCUUGAUUCAUUUUAGCUGCAAAGAAAACCAGUCCUCGUCUACCUUUUUCGCGUGUUGGAGAACUAACUAGCAAGGCAGGGAAUGCGGUUCGUGGGCGCUUGGCCUCCUCAAGCGGCUCAGGCUCUCAGAGCGCGAGGCCCAGGGGCUCUGGAGCCGCGGCCGCGACGCGCCCGAGGGCCGUUCUCUUCGACGGCAGAGCAAGAGUCACCGCGCGGGAGCCCCGAGCGACCGCCCCGCUGCCCCGGUACCCUCCCCUCGCAGCCGCCCAGAGCUCUUCAUGCCCCGUGACGCCCGUUAGGGCAGCGCGGCCGGAGGCCGGGCCGGACGUGGCCCGAGAUGUCCGGGGGCAGGCAGAAGACCACGGGCACGCGACAGGCAACCGCCGCCUCGGCUCUAGAGGUGGACGUUUUGUCUCCCUGCGCUUCAAUACCAGAUUUUGUUUCCAGACGACAUCCCUGUUGCUUCCGGCACUUGGAAAGACCAAUCGUCAGGCCCGAGAAUGCAAGACCCACCCUCCUUUGCGACGGAGGCAGCCAAUCCAGUUGCUCGCUACUUCCAGUGUCGCAUGCGCCCUUACGCAGG
rnacentral:lncRNA from 1 species